rnacentral:tRNA from 1 species
GUCGGCACCGGGUUGGCCGUGGUGAACGUGCCGUUGAAACCGGUGCCCACGGUCGCGCCGGUGGCCAGCGCGCCGUUCCAGGCCGCGUUGUCGACG